rnacentral:lncRNA from 1 species
CAGUGACAGUGACAGUGGCAGUGACACCGAGCAGAGCUGCGGCGCUCCAGCGCAGGCAGGAUCCCUGUGCAGGGAAGCAGCAGCUCCAGGGGUGCUGGGAUCCCAGGGCAUUGAAGCGCGGCCGAGUCACGGAUUACUGAGGAAGGGGCAACACCCACGGAAGUGCUGGAGAACAGGCAGCCCUGGGAGCACAAAAUGAAAAUAAAACCACUCCCAGACAAAGGAAAAACCUCAAGGGAAAUGGUGCCUGCUUCGGAGAAUCCCUCCCUGCUAACGUGGGGGAAGUCUGGGAAUGAAGAUGGGCUGGGAACGGAGAUGAAGCUGGGAAUGGAAAUGAACUGGACAUUGCAGUACUUUAUUCACUGAAAGAACAACAAAGUACUGGAAUGCUCUUCCCACGUAAGUGGUAGAAUCACCAUCUCUGGAUGUGUUUAAUAAAAGACUGGACAGGGCACUUGGUGCUACAGUUGAUGUGUCAGGGCAUGGGUUGGACUCAAUGAUCUUACAGGUCUCUUCCAACCUCACUAUUCUGUGAUUCUGUGAACUGGGAAUGGAGAUGGACUGGGAAUGGAGAUGGACUGGGAAUGGAGAUGAAGGUGGGAGUCACUGAGAGCCCUCCUGCAGGAAGCCUGCAGCACUGCGAUGUGGAGAGAGAAGGAAAAGGAAAAAAACAGAAAGAGGAAAGUUCAAAACCCAUCAAACCCCAGAGUUCCAAUGUUACAAGACCACAGACACAGAAACUUUUCUGCUUCUUUUCCAGUGAGGAAACAAUCCCAGCAGCUCUGCUGGAACAAGAACAAUUCUGGGCCACGAGGAGAACAAACCCACAUUUCAGUGAGUCAUGGGCAGAUAUUCCAAGGCAGAGUGAGGAGUUUCUGCCAUCAGGACAGAGCCCAGGCAGUGGCAGAGGGAGGGAAGGACACCGGCACUGGCCCUGAACCCUCCCUGAGUUCCAGCUCUCCAAACCAUCAUUAAUGUUCACCAGGCCCAGAAAGAUGAGCAGCUUUCAAGUCUCAGAUAACCCCAAAGUGCAGAGCCAUUCCCACUCCACGCUCAGCAGCUCCCAAAGAUAAAAAAGCAGAUUAUUCCCUUUAAACUCUCCUGGCACCAGCCCGUGGCUCCAGCUGGACUAUGGCAGGCUAAAAACAUGGCUGCAAAGCCAUGCUUAAAAAAAAAUGCUUUAAAAUUGCACAUUUCAGGGUUUCAGUCUCAGUAUUCAGUGCCUGACCACCAAGAGAUGAUUUGCUCUGAUUACCAGCUCAGAUUUACCAAAUAUCUUGCAUUCAUAUAUAUUUUUAUAUUUUUACUUUAUAUUUCACUUACCUAAACCAGACAUUCCCCUAGGUAAGAAAUCAUGUAAAUAUAAUGAUUAUGAUAAGAAAUAAAUAGAAAUAAUAGCUAUUUUAGAUAAUAAUG